CAAAAUCAAAUAUAGACUCCGUGCAAACAAUUCAUUCAUAUUCUCGAAUUUCACACAAAAGGAUUUUCGGGCGACGCGAAGGGUCAAAAUUACGCUGCCGUUCGGGCCAACUUGAUUAUUGGCAAUUAUGUGCGGCCUGCCGAGCUUGUUUGCAGCAUUUUUAUUGCUAUGCUUCGGCAAUGCCCUUAAUAGCCUGCCCUCCGAGGAAUUCCAGCCCAACUUCGGGCUGUCCAAAGCUAAUUAGCGAAGAGCAGGACUAAAUCAGGUUUAGUUCUUAUUAGACGAAGAUAAGAAAGGACACGAUGAACAAGUGAUGUGUGGCACUGGGCAGAGAAUUUGGCAGUCUGGCAAUUAAUCAAGUUAAUAAACCCAAAGUAUUUCAGACCUUUUGGGUUUAAUUGGUAAAGGAAAUUCCUGCAAAUUUUUGUGAAUCUAUUAAUUAACUUGAUUAUUUAGAUAUUAAUAUAAUUCAAGAUGAAUGUUAACCAUG
ensembl:ncRNA lncRNA:CR43821 long non-coding RNA:CR43821